rnacentral:rRNA from 1 species
UACGGAAGGGGCAAGCGUUGUUCGGAAUCAUUGGGCGUAAAGGGCGCGUAGGUGGUUCUGUAUGUCUACCGUGAAAGCGUACGGCUCAACCGUAUUUUGUCGGUAGAAACUGCAGGACUUGAGGCUGGGAGGGGCUGGUGGAAUUCCCUGUGUAGCGGUGAAAUACGUAGAGAUGGGGGAGAACACUCGUGGCGAAGGCGGCCAGCUAGACCAGUUCUGACACUGAGGCGCGACAGCGUGGGGAGCAAACAGG